AUGAAGACCAUUCUCAGCAAUCAGACAGUCAACAUUCCAGAAAAUGUUGAUAUCACUCUGAAGAAACACAGUUACUGUGAAGGGCCCCAAAAGAACCCUGCAGAAGGACUUCAAUCACACCAAUGUAGAACUCAGUCUCCUUGGAAAGAAAAGGAAGAGGCUCCAGGUUGACAACUUGUGGGGAAAGAGAAAGGAACUGGCUACCCUUCACACUAUUUGUAGUCAUGUACAGAACAUGAUCAAGGGUGCUACUGUGGGCUUCCAUUACAAGAUGAAGUCUCUGUAAGCUCACUUCCUCAUCAAUAUCGUAUUCUGGGAGAACAGGUCUCUUGUUGAAAUCCACAAUUUCUUGGGUAAAAAAUACAUCCGCAGGGUUCGAAUGAGGAUAAAUGUUGUUUGUUCAGUAUCUCAAGCCCAGAAAGAUGAAUUAAUCCUUGAAGGAAAUGACAUUGAGCUUGUUUCAAAUUCAGUUGCCUUGAUUCAGCAAGCCACAACAGUUAAAAUCAAAGACAUCAGAAAAUUUUUGGAUGGCAUCUAUGUCUCUGAAAAAGGAACUGUUCAGCCGGCUGAUGAAUAA
rnacentral:lncRNA from 1 species